rnacentral:lncRNA from 1 species
UCCAAACUCUCCAUGACUGCACCUGCCCAUUUACCACCCCUGGCCCUUACCAUCAACUCUUCAUUAAUGAUCAUCUUGCUGAUGAUGGAGUGCACAGUGGGCAGGUCCAGCUCAAACAUGUCCGACAGUGUCUCCAUGCUGGGGAGAAAUAAGGCAGAGAGCAGGGAGCAGUCAGGAUCCUCGAGCACGAAGCUGCAGCCCCUGUGCUUCCUCAGGGCUCAUCCUACCUGAUGGAGUCAUAGACACUGCUGUAAGUGAAGAGGUCGGUGACAACCCUGUGGAUGGGAAGGACAGAGUGGUGUGGGAGACGCAGGGCCAGAAGCUGGUCUUGGUUCCUCUCCCACCGCUUGUGGGCAUGUGUGAUCUGGGGCCGAUUUCUCUCAGCCUCUCUGAGCUUCAGUUUCUUCAGGAUCACAGCUACAUCACUGGCACACUGUAAGACUGAACAAGAUCUGUGGUAGUAUGGGUUUGAAAAAAGCUAUAAAAAGCUGUUUAAGCAUUAAAUAUAUUAUGCCACCUUGUCAGGAACAUCAGGGGGUUUUAAUUACAUGCUUGAGGUCACACAGCUAAUAAGUAUAAAAGAAACAUACGAUACGAGAGCUUGAAGAGGCUUUCAGGGUGUUGUAGUCAGCUUCCCCCAUUUGCCAGAUGAGGAGAUUAAAAUACAGCAAGAGAACGUGAUUUUCCCAAGGCCUUUUCCUCCCAAUCUGACUCCCACCAAUGUUCAUUCUUUGACUCUUUCUCCUCUAGCGUUGGGAAGAAACUCAGCCCCAAGAUGUUACCUUCCUGUUACAAGUUAUGGAUGCCUCUCCUGGCAGCUCUGCCACAAGUCCUGGGCAUGGACUGACAUCCCCAGAAAACCAACAGGACAAGCUUUCCUAGCCCAGGUCUUGACACAUCUCAGCCUAAGAAACAAAUUCUGGAGCCUGAAAAUAAGUGGCAGCCCAAACCUUUGCUCCAAGAACCACAUGGUGUGUCUAGGUCAGGCAAAGAGAGAGAAAGGUUGUGGCCAGUAAAAAGCUAAGGGUUUGGCUAACAGAUUUCAAGCCCCCACUUGGAUUCAGGCCAGGCUCUGGGGCUAUAGGAAGUAUAGAAUGUGGUAGGAAGGGGCAUGCCAUCUAAUGGUGUGGCAGACCCACCCAUAACUCAUACAUGCAGCCUGAGUGAUAUUGCAAAAAACUUUUUUUCCCUGACUAUAAAAGUCACUCUUGCUUAUUGUAGGAAAUUUGGAAAAUACUAGAAAGUGUAAAGACAAUAAAAUGACCUAUAAGUUAAAGUAAACACAUGUCCUG